CCGGCGACCGGCGCACGGGUGAGUAACGCGUAUGCAACCUGCCCGUUUCAGCGGGAUAACCCGGAGAAAUCCGGCCUAAUACCGCAUGUGGCCGAGGGGAGGCAUCUUCUUUCGGCCAAAGGAGGCGACUCCGGAGACGGAUGGGCAUGCGUGACAUUAGCUAGUUGGCGGGGUAACGGCCCACCAAGGCGACGAUGUCUAGGGGUUCUGAGAGGAAGGUCCCCCACACUGGUACUGAGACACGGACCAGACUCCUACGGGAGGCAGCAG
rnacentral:rRNA from 1 species